AUUGAACGCUGGUGGCAUGCUUAACACAUGCAAGUCGAACGGCAGCAUCAUUUACUGAAAGACUAGCUUGCUAGUCUGGAAGUUGUUGGAUGGCGAGUGGCGGACGGGUGAGUAAUGCAUAGGAAUCUGCCUUAAAGUGGGGGACAACCUGAGGAAACUCGGGCUAAUACCGCAUAAUACCUUCGGGUCAAAGGCGCCUUUCGGGGUGUCGCUUUAAGAUGAGCCUAUGUCCGAUUAGCUUGUUGGUAGGGUAAAGGCCUACCAAGGCGACGAUCGGUAGCUGGUCUGAGAGGACGAUCAGCCACACUGGGACUGAGACACGGCCCAG
rnacentral:rRNA from 1 species